rnacentral:rRNA from 1 species
AGAGUUUGAUCCUGGCUCAGAAUCAACGCUGGCGGCGUGCCUAACACAUGCAAGUCGAACGCGAAAGGGACUUCGGUCCUGAGUAGAGUGGCGAACGGGUGAGUAACGCGUGGGUGACCUACCCUCGAGUGGGGGACAACGUUCCGAAAGGGACGCUAAUACCGCAUGACAUUCCGGGUUUGAAGACCUGGAAAUCAAAGCCGGGGACCGCAAGGCCUGGCGCUAGAGGAGGGGCCCGCGUCUGAUUAGCUAGUUGGCGGGGUAAUGGCCCACCAAGGCGACGAUCAGUAGCCGGCCUGAGAGGGCGGACGGCCACACUGGGACUGAGACACGGCCCAGACUCCUAUGGGAGGCAGCAGUGGGGAAUUGUUCGCAAUGGGCGCAAGCCUGACGACGCAACGCCGCGUGGAGGAUGAAGGUCUUCGGAUCGUAAACUCCUGUUGAUCGGGACGAAAAGCUUCAACCUAAUACGUUGAAGACUGACGGUACCGGUUGAGGAAGCCACGGCUAACUCUGUGCCAGCAGCCGCGGUAAUACAGAGGUGGCAAGCGUUGUUCGGAAUUACUGGGCGUAAAGGGCGCGUAGGCGGCCUCCUAAGUCGGACGUGAAAGCCCCAGGCUUAACCUGGGA